rnacentral:lncRNA from 1 species
CAGGUUGCACUCAAGGGCUUCCAUCAACGACCAUGCUGUAACGUGUAUCUGUAUUCCUAGCCCCAGCAUCUCCAUUUGGCUUGGGGUCUUCCCAGGUGUGGCACCUGAGUCCUGCUCAUUGGGAGAAGGGGGAAUCUUGAAGACACUUUUCUCCCCUUGAACUCAGCGCCCAGCACUUUUCCACACCUGAACCUCAGCCCAGAUCCGUGAAAGGGCAGGAGCCUAUUGCUCCAGUGAGACAAGUCCCCUGUCUUUGUGGAUCCACCUGACCCUCGCCAGGUGCUGCUCCAGGGGUAUGGACCUGUGGGGGAGCCGGUGCUUCCUCCUGUCUAGCCUCUUGCUCAGACCAUCAUGUUUGCAGGGCUGAGAAGUCCAAGAUGAAGGUGCCCCCAAAUAUCGUGUCUGGUGGGGGCCCACUUCCACACUGACAGCCAUCUUCUCCCUCUGACCUCACAUGGUGGAAAGAAUGAGGGGUCUCUCUGGAUCCUCUUUUAUAAGGAUGCUAAUUCAAUUCAUGAAGGCUCCAGCCCUAUGACCCAAACAACUCCUAAAGGCCCUACCUCUUAAUACCAUCUUUUAGGGGAGUGGAUUUCAACAUAUAAAUUUUGAGGUGACAUAAACAUUCAGAUCAUAGAGAUACUCUUGCACAAAAUCAGACAAAAAUUUCUGCAGAUGACUUAAUUGAUGAAAUUGCAAUGGGCUCUUUACAAUGUAAAUCACUCAUUUGGUAAUUAUAAAUAGGAUGAAAACUUCUUAAUAUUUAAAAAAUCUACAUUAAAACUUUUAUUAUUCCCUUAGGAAAUCAAAUCUGGAUUAGGGGAUAAAAUCUGUAUUAGUUAUCUUCUGCUGCAUAAUAAAACUCCCCCAAAG